UACUCCUACGGGAGGCAGCAGUAGGGAAUCUUCGGCAAUGGGGGCAACCCUGACCGAGCAACGCCGCGUGAGUGAAGAAGGUUUUCGGAUCGUAAAGCUCUGUUGUAAGAGAAGAACGUGUGUGAGAGUGGAAAGUUCACACAGUGACGGUAACUUACCAGAAAGGGACGGCUAACUACGUGCCAGCAGCCGCGGUAAU
rnacentral:rRNA from 2 species